UACGAAGGGGGCUAGCGUUGCUCGGAAUCACUGGGCGUAAAGCGCGUGUAGGCGGAAGCGAAAGUCCGGUGUGAAAGCCCCCCGCUCAACGGGGGAAGGUCGCUGGAAACUGCGCUUCUUGAGGGCGGCAGAGGGAAGUGGAAUUGCUGGUGUAGCGGUGAAAUGCGUAGAGAUCAGCAGGAACACCCGUGGCGAAGGCGGCUUCCUGGGCCGCGCCUGACGCUGAGACGCGAAAGCGUGGGGAGCGAACGGG
rnacentral:rRNA from 1 species